rnacentral:tRNA from 1 species
GUAUAUAUAGUUUAAUUAAUACACUAGAUUGUGAUUCUAGAAAUGAAAGUGAAAUUCUUUCUAUAAACC